AUUAAUUCCCCCAGUUAGGCAUUUAAUACACCAAGAGCUAUUCUGCCUGGUACAGUUCCUUGAAAUAAGAAAAAUACCACAUCACUGCGACCCGCUGCAGAAGUUUAGCCUGAGUGCACAAGUGUUCUGUCAACCCCACGUUCACUUCAGCAGGAAAACACACAAUCAUCUCCUUCGCAAAUAAUUGCUUCUCAUCAAGGGCUACCCUUCUCCUGCCAAGCAUUAUGAAUUCCAGUAUUAUGAAGAGACAAUCUAUCUCCUUCUACCCAGUGACAGCUGCGUGCAACAUUCAUUUAGUGGCUGACAACUUCAGGCUUUCUGUUGCAAAUCUGGCAGAUCUUUCUUAAUGCCUUAUCACAGGUGUAUUUCUAUAAUAGAACUGAGAGUUCACACCAGAUUUGUUUUUAGUUAUUUGGAUAAUACUUAUGAUAGACUUCACUUCUCUAUGCCUUUGUCAUUUGGCAUAUGGUGAAAAGAUGGCACAGGAAAGCUGACAUGUUUGCAAACUCUCAAGUGAUUGUAAACUUAAUUAUACAUCCAAUCAAGGAAUUAGCACAGAAACUUCUUCAGACAUUGUCCCUUUUCUCAUUAGAACAGAAGAUGAAGAGUGUGCACAUCCUGUUCUUUCCUUCAGUCACCUCAUCUUAAAGCGGUCCUUUCAGGGUUUUGCAAUUUAAUAAACCCAAUGACACCCCUAAUUAAAGUCACCAAAAAAAGAUGACCGGUUUUCAUUUUUUAAACAAAAUGAAAGGAAAUCAUGCUUUACCACAGCACUAUCACCAAUUCUGUGCUACCUCCAAAUAGGAAUUCAGGAGCAUAAGAUUUAUAGUGUCAGAAAUUAACAAUUUUCCCUGGUUUUACCUUGAAUGGUGAUAAAAAGCAGAAAAAUAGUUUGCUGUGCCUAAAUGAACACCCAAGUCCGUACAAAGUCUAUAUGACCAGUCAAGCAGUAUUUUUCUGUUUGUGAUCAUUUCUUCAAGAGAAAAAAUUUCCUCAACAGGAAUUUUAAUAUGCAGCUUCACCCCAAACUGGGGGACAAGAUAAAACUACUUCGUGUGUUCUAGAGUCGUUGCUCUCAACUUACAAAGAUAACAAAUCUUAACGUGAGUAAUCUUUACAGCCCUUCAUCUCUUGUAGAUAGAUGCCAAUAUUAACUUGAUUAGAUGCGUAUGUUGUCAUUGAGGUUUGAGAAAAUUUUUCUAAUAGUGAUAAAGCAUUAGAAAAGUUAUCUACCUCAUCUUAAGACAUUAUUGGUUCUUACCUUUCUUCGUUUGGGCUGAAGGUCAGGAACAUUCAGUUCAUCUAUGUCUGGAGGCUAAGGGAAAAAAUAAAGCCUAAAUGUUAGAGGGCUUUUCUUUUUUCCUGAGAGAGGGUUCCCUGCAACAAAAAUAUGGGGGCUCAUGGUCAACUUACAGAACUCAGCGGCAAAAGAGGUGGCAUUUUUUUAGCAUCCUGUUGAAAAAAUAGUGCAAUAAAUUAAACUUGACACAACAUAAGGAAGAACAGUUUUAUCUUUCUCCUUUGAUGGCACAUUUACUAAGUUUUAGAAACACGUGAAGCAAAAAUGGAUUAAAAGAAGUGCUAUUUACCAUCAAAGGGCUUGACAGCUUCUCCAUUGCCUCCAAGAUGCACCGUGCUGCGGUACUUAAGGUAGCGUGGGACUGCACUUUUUCUUGCCUAACUCUCCUUCUCAUUUGUACCUGGAAAAUUAGCAUUUUAAGUGUUACAAUGGUCAAUUCCGAGUUAAGGAGGCAUGUAUUUUAUGUUCCAAGGCUACACUGAUGAUAUAACCAAUAUAUUCUGAUGACAGAGAAAAAUGCAGUCACUGGGAGUUCAAGCCGUAAAGAAGAGUACAUGCUGAGUACAACGAAGUUUACCUUGGGCCUCAGUGCAUCUUGCUCGUGCUUGUUGCGCGAGUAAUAAAAGAAAUCCAUACUUGUAAAAGGUCAAGACGGAUGAUGCUAGGACUGCUAAGGCCUCCAAAGCAGUAAUCAGGGAAACAGAACUCAAGAAAAGGCUUGUGGUACAGAAAGUGCUUUCACUAACAACACAGACCUCAGAGUUUCACGAUGGUGUAGGUGUACCAUCUUAAAAUCAGUGUAUACAAUCAUAACCAGGAACUAGUUUUACUUCUCUCUUGCUUCCUCCCUUCCCCCAAGAUUAAAGUUGGCUGCAAAUCUUUGCUUUAAAAGAUAAAGAUCCGAUUUCAACUGUAACACAUCUAAAUAUUACACUGAAAAAGUGAACUGUUUAUUUGCACCACCCAGCUUCAAAUAUCAUGCAAAAACUUC